rnacentral:rRNA from 1 species
UAAACGACUCUCGGCAACGGAUAUCUCGGCUCAUGCAUCGAUGAAGMACGUAGCAAAAUGCGAUACUUGGUGUGAAUUGCAGAAUCCCGUGAACCAUCGAGUUUUUGAACGCAAGUUGCGCCCGAAGCCUUYUGGUUGAGGGCACGUCUGCYUGGGCGUCACGC